rnacentral:rRNA from 1 species
CGAGAAUUUUUCACAAUGGGCGAAAGCCUGAUGGAGCGACGCCGCGUGGGGGAUGAAUGGCUUCGGCCCGUAAACCCCUGUCAUUUGCGAACAAACCUUGCUAUUUAAAAGAUGGCGAGCUGAUUGUAGCGACAGAGGAAGGGACGGCUAACUCUGUGCCAGCAGCCGCGGUAAUACAGAGGUCCCAAGCGUUGUUCGGAUUCACUGGGCGUAAAGGGUGCGUAGGCGGUGAGGUAAGUCGGAUGUGAAAGCUCCGAGCUCAACUCGGAAAUGGCAUUGGAAACUACCUUGCUCGAGGGUUUGAGGGGGGACUGGAAUACUUGGUGUAGCAGUGAAAUGCGUAGAUAUCAAGUAGAACACCAGUGGCGAAGGCGAGUCCCUGGAAAACUCCUGACACUGAGGCACGAAAGCUAGGGGAGCAAAC